UAUAGUUAACCAAACAAGUGAAUGUCCACCAUUUAGAAGAGAUUAAGCUGCAGUAUUGCUAUCCCCGUCUGGAUAUUAACGUCAGUAAAAGCAUCAACCAUCUGCUGAAAAGUCCUUUCUCGGUUCAUCCCAAAACAGGGCGUAUUUCAGUGCCUAUAGAUGUCAAGAAUUUGGAUAAAUUUGAUCCUUUUAGUGCCCCAACAAUAAGUUAUCUUUGCAAGGAACUUGAUAAGAAAACUAAGGAAGAGCAAGAGGUUACAACUGCUGAGAAUGACGAGGAGCCAGAAGUGAAGCGUCGCACCAGAGAUUAUAAGAAAACAAGCCUCCUUAGGCCCAUCAAGAUUUUUGAGCAAUUUAUAGAGAAGAUGGAGCAGUCACGAAAGGGGCAGCUGCUGAGACAGAGUGACCGAGAUGGAGAUUUUUGAUAUCCCCAAUGAGCGAGUUCCUUUUUCAAGUGCAUUUCAGCUGAUGUUGGCUUGCAUCAUUAGAUUGGAAAACCUGGAACCGAGACCACCUUCUGACUUCGUUGCUGUAGCAAUUUAAAAAUUUAUGAUGUACUAAACUGCACUUCUUCAGUUCUGAGCAGCCUUUAGUUAAGACUCGUGGAACACUGUUUCAGAAUUCCUACUUUAGAGGUGUCUGUAUAAUCAUUUUGUAUCUCGCAGAUAGUUAUAUAUCCACAUUUUGUAAGAUUUCCUUUUUAUUUUUCUUCUGUAUUUCCCCUUGCCAUUCAUUGAUUCAGUUAGAUCUUAAGCUACAUCAUACAACAUCAAGUGGAAGAGUCACCUUUUUUAUUAAGGUGGCAAUCAAGCUCAGGACUCUUGUGAAUACUGUUGAACUUUGGCAGAAGAACCAUCUACAACAGGCACCGUUUUUCUGCAGGUUUCUUCAGUUCUGGGUAAAGUUGAGAUAUGACAGCUGUAAAACCUCUGUGUACACUUGUAUGAAGAAUAGCAAAUUGGGACUGGGGAACUACUGGCAUUUGUGGACCCAAACCCCAGUAAGAAUCAGCAUCUUUUCAUUUUCAUCCAAAACUUGAAGAGAAAGAAACACUGAUACAAACUUUGCCAGAGACAGUUGAAAUGUGUACUUUGGAAAUGGCAAGCCCAUUUUGCUUAUACAAGCAGGCAAUCCACAGAACAAUUACACACUGUCCAAAAGAAAAAGCUAAUUACAAGCAGUCUCCAUUUCUGUUCAAAACUGACUUGUUUUUAUUCUGUGUAGUAUCAUGGAGAAGGGAGAGAUGAUCUCUUCUCCACCCCACCCCACCCCACCCCCCUUUACCUGUCUGAAAACAGAUGUGCUUUAAAAGGAAAAAAUAACUCACACUGAUAUAUGGCAGAUUUUGUUGUAUAUUUUAUGAAAGGAGGAUGUUUAAUAAUUCUCCCAGCCAUACCUACUAACUCAUACAGAGAGACACUUGAGGAAAAUAUUGUUUAUAAAAAGUGUCAUGCACUUGGGUCUUAAAAGUUUGAAAGUCACUGUGACACUUACUCCUCCAGAAAUGAGGCCAUAAUGUUGAGUGUUGUUUUUUUUCUUUUGGCUCACUGAAGAAUAGAAUCUCAAUGUUGUGAAAGACUAAUUUCCUGCAGUAGCAGAUUUUUCUUGUUCCACUGUAGGGCUUUACAGCAUUGGGGGAAAAGGCUGUUCAGCCCAUUGUUUAUCUUGGUCAUCUACUGUAGUCCCAUGUUCCAGUCUUUGGACCGUAAUGGUGUUUCAAGUGUUCAUCUAAAUACCACACUAAAAUGUUGUUGGGUGCAAAGUUCUUGCUUAAGUCUGUGACCCCCUGAUUAUAACUCCUCCAUUAAGAGGAAAGGUUUAUUCUUUUCUACUUUAUCUCUGCCUGUGAAAUGCAUACCUUAAUCGGGUCAGUUAUCCUCACCCCAAAGUCUUCCCUGCUCUAAGGAAAACAACCCUGGUCUAACUAGUCUCUCUUCAUAGCUGGUAAAUCUCCUCUGCACCUUCUGUACUACUAUCCUAGCUUUCUGAAAGUGUGGUGAUGAAAACUCCAUGUAAUACUUCAUCUGGGGAUAAACUAACAUCUAACUCCAUUGUAAUCUCCUUAAUCUUCUGUACAAUACCUCAAAUAAUAAAGAAAAGUAUCCCAUAUUUUUAAUUCAGCUGUCAUGUUGCUUUCAAGGAUCUGUGGCCAUGCACACGAAGGUUCUUCUGAUCUCUACAGCCUAGGGUGCACUCUCUUCACCUUUUGUGCUCCCAAAAUGUAUCAUCUUACACUUGUCUCAAUUAAAUUCCGUUUGCUGUGUUCUAACCACUUAGUCUAUUUCGUUCUGUAGUCUUGGGUUUUCCUCAUCUCUGUUUACCACGUUGCCAAUUUUGUGUCAUCUAUGAAAUACUGAUCAGACUCCUACAUUUGUGUCUUGAUUGUAAAUGCACACCCCAAACAGCAAAAGACCCAGCGUCAAACCCUGUAGUAUGCACUGGACAUAGGCUUCCAGUCACAAAAAUCAACUUUGAUGAUAACCCUGUGCUUCCUGUCUCUGAGCCAAUAUUAGAUCCAAUAUGCUGAAUUGUUCUGGAUCACAUCAACUUGUUACCUUCUUGAGCAGUCUCCAGUGCAACACCUUGUCAAAGUCUUCCUGAUGUUCAUGCACAUAACAUAAACUGCAUUACCCUCAUUGACGUACCUAGUCAACACCUCAAAAAAAGACUAAAUCAAACCUGUCAGACAUGAUUUCCCCGAUAAAUCAUGCUGACUAUUUUCAAUCCUUGCCUUUUCAAGUGAAGAUUGAUAUUUUCCAACCCGAUGCUAGACUUACUAGCCUGUAGUUUUCUGGCUUAUUUCUCUCCCCCCUUCUUGAAUAAUGGUAUCGUGUUAGCUGUGGCCAGGGAGAAUUUGAAAAUUAAUGUCAGGGCCCCUGCAAUCUCAUGCCAGAACUCUGGGGUGCAAAUUGUUGAGGAGGUAAUAGCGUAGUCGUAUUAUUGCUCGACCUUUAAUCAAGAGACCCAAGUAAUGUUCUGGGGACCUGGGUUUGAAUCCUUCCACAGUUGUUGGUGAAAUUUGAAUCCAAUAAAAAUCUGGAAUUAAGAGUUUAA